rnacentral:rRNA from 1 species
UACGUAGGGGGCAAGCGUUAUCCGGAUUUACUGGGUGUAAAGGGAGCGUAGACGGCAGUGCAAGCCUGGAGUGAAAGGAUGGGGCCCAACCCCAUGACUGCUCUGGGAACUGUGCAGCUGGAGUGCCGGAGGGGUAAGCGGAAUUCCUAGUGUAGCGGUGAAAUGCGUAGAUAUUAGGAGGAACACCAGUGGCGAAGGCGGCUUACUGGACGGCAACUGACGUUGAGGCUCGAAAGCGUGGGGAGCAA